UACGUAGGGGGCAAGCGUUGUCCGGAAUCAUUGGGCGUAAAGCGCGUGUAGGCGGCCCGGUAAGUCCGCUGUGAAAGUCCAGGGCUCAACCCUGGAAUGCCGGUGGAUACUGUCAAGCUCGAGUCCGGAAGAGGCGAGUGGAAUUCCCGGUGUAGCGGUGAAAAUGCGCAGAUAUCAGGAGGAACACCAAUGGCGAAGGCAGCUCGCUGGGACGUGACUGACGCUGAGACGCGAAAGCGUGGGGAGCGAACAGG
rnacentral:rRNA from 1 species